rnacentral:rRNA from 1 species
UGACCGCUGGCGGCAGGCCUACCACAUGCACAUCGACCGGUAACAGGCAGAAGCUUGCUUCUUUGCUGACGAGUGGCGGACGGGUGAGUAAUGUCUGGGAAACUGCCUGAUGGAGGGGGAUAACUACUGGAAACGGUAGCUAAUACCGCAUAACGUCGCAAGACCAAAGAGGGGGACCUUCGGGCCUCUUGCCAUCGGAUGUGCCCAGAUGGGAUUAGCUAGUAGGUGGGGUAACGGCUCACCUAGGCGACGAUCCCUAGCUGGUCUGAGAGGAUGACCAGCCACACUGGAACUGAGACACGGUCCAGACUCCUACGGGAGGCAGCAGUGGGGAAUAUUGCACAAUGGGCGCAAGCCUGAUGCAGCCAUGCCGCGUGUAUGAAGAAGGCCUUCGGGUUGUAAAGUACUUUCAGCGGGGAGGAAGGGAGUAAAGUUAAUACCUUUGCUCAUUGACGUUACCCGCAGAAGAAGCACCGGCUAACUCCGUG